rnacentral:rRNA from 1 species
CACGUGAGGAGGCGAGCGUUCGAUCCGGAAUGCAUUAGGGCGUAAAGAGCGCGCAGGCGGCUUGGCAAGGUCGGGUGAGAAACGUCCCGGGGCUACCACCCCGGUACUGGCAUCGAUACUGUCAGGCUAGAGGUAGGUAGGGGAGAUCGGAAUUCCUGGUGUAGCGGUGAAAUGCGCAGAUAUCAGGAGGAACACCAAUGGCGAAGGCAGCUCGCUGGGACGUGACUGACGCUGAGACGCGAAAGCGUGGGGAGCAAACAGGG